rnacentral:rRNA from 1 species
AUUGAACGCUGGCGGCAGGCCUAACACAUGCAAGUCGAGCGGAGCGGCGGACGGGUGCGUAAUGCCUAGGAAUCUGCCUGGUAGUGGGGGAUAACGUCCGGAAACGGGCGCUAAUACCGCAUACUAUCAGAUGAGACUAGGUCGGAUUAGCUAGUUGGUGGGUUAAAGGCCUACCAGGGCGAAGAUCCGUAACUGGUGUGAGAGGAUGAUCAGUCACACGGGAACUGGUACACGGUCCAGACUCCUACGGGAGGCAGCAGUGGGGAAUAUUGGACAAUGGGCUAAAUCCUGAUGCAGACAUGCCGCGUGUGUGAAGAAGGUCUUCGGAUUGUAAAGCACGUUAAGUUGGGAGGCGGUACCAACAGAAUAAGCACCGGCUAACUUCGUGCCAGCAGCCGCGGUAAUAC